AUGAGGGGUGAUGGAGGCCGUGGUCGUAGUGGGCGCUUUGGUUCCAGAGGAGGCCCAGGAGGAGGGUUCGGGCCCUUUGUACCACAUACCCCAUUUGAUUUCUAUUUGGGAGAAACGGCCUUCCCCCGGCUGAAGCCAGCUCCUGAUGAAACUUCCUUCAGUGAGGCCUUGCUGGAGAGGAAUUAGGACCUUGCUCCCAAUUCUGCUGAACAGGCCUCUAUUCUUUCUCUGGUUACAAAAAUAAACAAUGUGAUUGACAAUUUGAUUGUGGCUCCAGGAACCUUUGAAGUGCAAAUUGAAGAAGUCCGACAGGUAGGAUCAUAUGAAAAGGGAACAGUGACAACAGGGCACAAUGUGGCUGACCUGGUGGUCAUGCUAAAGAUCCUGCUGACAUUGGAAGCUCUUGCUGCCCUGGGGAACAAGGUCGUGGGAAGCCUAAGACCACAGGAUCCUUCUGAAGUUUUGACCAUGCUGAUCAAUGAAACUGGCUUUGAAAUCAGUUCUGAUGCUACGGUGAAGAUUCUCAUUACAACAGUGCCACCCAAUCUCCAAAAACUGGACCCAGAACUUUAUUUGGAUAUAGAGGUGUUACAGAGUGCCUUAGCAGCCAUCUGACAGGCCAGUUGGUUUGAGGAAAAUGCUUCUCUGUCUACAAAGUUCUUAUCUGACUGCUGAAGGACUUGAGGAUUCAUUUUCCUGGCUUUGAGCCCCUCACACCCUGGACCCUACUGGGUCACCACUCUGUGAUGAACAACCCCACUCGAUGGCCCUUGGCCCUAAAUGUGGCAUGCAGGUGUUGCUUACAGAUCCUGGCUGCAGGACUAUUCCUGCCAGGUUCUGUGGGUAUCCCUGACCUCCGUGAGAGUGGCAACCUCAGAGUACACACAGUCAUGACCCUGGAACAGCAGGACAUGGUCUGCGACACAGCUCAGACUCUGGUCCAAAUCCUCUCACAUGGUGGCUUUAGGAAGAUCCUUGGCCAGAAGGGUGAUGCCAGCUAUCUGGCUUCUGAAAUAUCUACUUGGCCUGGAGUGAUUGUGACACCCUCAGAAAAGACUUAUGAGAAGCCACCAGAGAAGGAAGGAGAGGAAGAGGAGGAGAAUACAGAAGAACCACCUCUUCCAGGAGAACAGGAGGAAAGCAUGGAGACCCAGCAGUGA